UUUUAAAUGGCCGCAGUAUUUUGACUGUGCAAAGGUAGCAUAAUCAUUAGUUUUUUAAUUAAAAGCUUGUAUGAAAGGCUGGACGAGGUAAAAUCUGUCUCUAUUUAAAUUAUAGUAGAAUUUAACUUUUAAGUUAAAAGGCUUAAAUAUUAUUAAAAGACGAGAAGACCCUAUAGAUCUUUAUAGUUUAUUAAAUUAAAUUAAUUUAGAAAUAUUAAUGUUUUAUUUAAUUAAGUUAUUUUAUUGGGGUAAUAAAAAGAUUGAAUUAAUUCUUUUUUAUAAUAAACAUUAAUUUAUGAAUAUUAAUGAUCCAGUUUUACUGAUUAUAAGAUUAAGUUACCUUAGGGAUAACAGCGUAAUUUUUUUAGAGAGUUCAUAUCGAUAAAAAAGUUUGCGACCUCGAUGUUGGAUUAAAGAUUAUUUUAGGUGUAGAAGCUUAAUAAUUUUGGUCUGUUCGACCAUUAAAUCUUUACAUGAUCUGAGUUCAGACCGGCGUAAGCCAGGUCGGUUUCUAUCUUUAAUAAAAUAAAAUAUUUUAGUACGAAAGGACCAAAUAUUUGAUAUAUUUAUAUUUAAUUUAUUGAAUAUUA
rnacentral:rRNA from 2 species